rnacentral:misc_RNA from 1 species
UAGUACAAAGCAGCAAUAUUCGAAACGAAUGUCGUAAAGCAAAUAAGUUAAAAUUUUCAUUAUCAAAUUUUUAACAAUUGCAAUAAGUUUCCACUGGUUUGUAAUAAUAUAAUAGUUUAUACAGAUCCUAGUUUAAGUUAAGUUUGAUAGUUUUAAAGAGAUUUAUCCGUAAUUUAACUUAUUUAGCGUUACCAGUUGAAUGAUUGUUGAUCAAAACUUGACAAAAGUGAAAAACCAUGGAUAGAAAAAUGAAAGGAGAUGGAGCAGUUUAUGAAGAUUUAAAGUCAUUUGCAGUGCCUGAGAGUGAACCACCCCCAAAGAGAAGAAGAACAGCAGAAGAUUUUUUCUCUUUUUGUCAGUUUAUCUUGGAAUAUGAGAAUUAUGAUGCUAUUAAACAAGAGGAACUUCGUCUAAAACCUGCUAGUCCUGUAGGAAGUUCAGGAAGCACAGAAGACAGUUUUUCUUCUGAUAGCAACUGCAGCAACAGUUCCCUAGGAAUCAACAAGCAAACAGAUGUGGAAUCAGGGAAUCUCAGACACCCAUUGCAUUUCUUCAGUGUGUCAUUCCUCUGUACCCUCCAGUGUGUAUUUCCUCCCCCCUUCUAGUGGAGCACAGGAGUUCUUGUCACUUCCAGUUCACAGUCAUUGGAGUGGUGGACCAUGGAGGUUUCCUGCUGAGCAGGAAGAAGACUCUUGGGAUAUGAUAACAUGUUUUUGCAUGAAGCCAUUUGCUGGAAGGCCAAUGAUAGAAUGUUCUCAAUGUUUAACAUGGGUGCACUU